UACGUAGGGGGCAAGCGUUGUCCGGAUUUACUGGGCGUAAAGAGCGCGCAGGCGGUCGUUCAAGUCGCGUGUGAAAGCCCCCGGCUCAACUGGGGAGGGUCACGCGAUACUGAUCGACUCGAAGGCAGGAGAGGGUAGUGGAAUUCCCGGUGUAGCAGUGAAAUGCGUAGAUAUCGGGAGGAACACCAGUGGCGAAGGCGGCCUUCUGGACCAGUACUGACGCUCAUGCACGAAAGCGUGGGGAGCAAACAGG
rnacentral:rRNA from 1 species